GUAGUCGGCUGAUCUGGCUGGCUAGGCAGGUGUCCCCUUCCUCCCUCACCACUCCACAUGCGUCCCUCCCGAAGCUUCGCGCUAGGUCGAAGAGGAUGACCUUCCCCGAUAGAGAUGUACCGUUCAUCGGCCAAGGGUAUACGGUAGCUGCGCUCCCCUGCUAGAACCUCCAAACAAGCUCUAUGAAAUCUGAAUAUGCAAUUUCUUUCCUGUUAUUCCGUGGAGGCAGGUGUCCCCUUCCUCCCUCACCACUCCACAUGCGUCCCUCCCGAAGCUUCGCGCUAGGU
rnacentral:snRNA from 1 species